GGGUUGUGAGGUUAAGCGACUAAGCGUACACGGUGGAUGCCCUGGCAGUCAGAGGCGAUGAAGGACGUGCUAAUCUGCGAUAAGCGUCGGUAAGGUGAUAUGAACCGUUAUAACCGGCGAUUUCCGAAUGGGGAAACCCAGUGUGAUUCGUCACACUAUCAUUAACUGAAUCCAUAGGUUAAUGAGGCGAACCGGGGGAACUGAAACAUCUAAGUACCCCGAGGAAAAGAAAUCAACCGAGAUUCCCCCAGUAGCGGCGAGCGAACGGGGAGCAGCCCAGAGCCUGAAUCAGUGUGUGUGUUAGUGGAAGCGUCUGGAAAGGCGCGCGAUACAGGGUGACAGCCCCGUACACAAAAAUGCACAUACUGUGAGCUCGAUGAGUAGGGCGGGACACGUGGUAUCCUGUCUGAAUAUGGGGGGACCAUCCUCCAAGGCUAAAUACUCCUGACUGACCGAUAGUGAACCAGUACCGUGAGGGAAAGGCGAAAAGAACCCCGGCGAGGGGAGUGAAAAAGAACCUGAAACCGUGUACGUACAAGCAGUGGGAGCCUCUUUAUGGGGUGACUGCGUACCUUUUGUAUAAUGGGUCAGCGACUUAUAUUCUGUAGCAAGGUUAACCGAAUAGGGGAGCCGAAGGGAAACCGAGUCUUAACUGGGCGUUAAGUUGCAGGGUAUAGACCCGAAACCCGGUGAUCUAGCCAUGGGCAGGUUGAAGGUUGGGUAACACUAACUGGAGGACCGAACCGACUAAUGUUGAAAAAUUAGCGGAUGACUUGUGGCUGGGGGUGAAAGGCCAAUCAAACCGGGAGAUAGCUGGUUCUCCCCGAAAGCUAUUUAGGUAGCGCCUCGUGAAUUCAUCUCCGGGGGUAGAGCACUGUUUCGGCAAGGGGGUCAUCCCGACUUACCAACCCGAUGCAAACUGCGAAUACCGGAGAAUGUUAUCACGGGAGACACACGGCGGGUGCUAACGUCCGUCGUGAAGAGGGAAACAACCCAGACCGCCAGCUAAGGUCCCAAAGUCAUGGUUAAGUGGGAAACGAUGUGGGAAGGCCCAGACAGCCAGGAUGUUGGCUUAGAAGCAGCCAUCAUUUAAAGAAAGCGUAAUAGCUCACUGGUCGAGUCGGCCUGCGCGGAAGAUGUAACGGGGCUAAACCAUGCACCGAAGCUGCGGCAGCGACACU
rnacentral:rRNA from 1 species